UUCAAUGUUAAUUGACUUUUCCCGAGUAGCUGAAGGUUGUCAAUAUUUUCUGUUUCAAUUUAUAAUAUGUAGUUUUGUUCUUUCAGCAGUUCUCAUCAGGGACUUUAAAUCGGCAACACUGUACGAAUCCCAUAACUGUUCCUAGAUCUAUUUUGAGAACUCUAUAGCCGCUUAUAUCGUCAAUCACUGCUCACACACCACAGAUCUUCAUUUCCUGAUCGCCAGUGAUAUUCUUCUUUUUCUGUGAUCUGUAGGCCUGCAAUCGUUAGUCCCAAUUCUUUCAAUAUGGUCUGCAGAGAAUAAUGGACAAAGACUAGGGUCUCACAGACAUGCAAAUGAAGCUAAAUUGUCUAAGCAACCACAUUGUUGUGGCUUUUGGUUGUUUAGUCUGGAUUUGAAGAAUUUGAGAGAAGGGAAUAUUUUUUUAGACUGAAUACUUGUUUUCUUUAUCUGGUCAGCACUUAUGAAAGGGAGCUAGAAUUGCAU
ensembl:lincRNA linc-108 ncRNA